UUUAUACUCUUUCUGUCCAACAAAGGAUGUCUCAACUUCAACUUUGAUCAAAUUUGAAUGCAUCUAUAUAUUAAAUCAUGUCUAGAUACAUCCAAAUUUUGACAAACUUAAAACAUCUUUUAUUGGACGGAGGGAGUACUGA
rfam:Brachypodium distachyon strain Bd21 chromosome 2, whole genome shotgun sequence.